rnacentral:rRNA from 1 species
UGGGGAAUCUUAGACAAUGGGGGAAACCCUGAUCUAGCCAUGCCGCGUGAGCGAUGAAGGCCUUAGGGUUGUAAAGCUCUUUCAGCUGGGAAGAUAAUGACGGUACCAGCAGAAGAAGCCCCGGCUAACUCCGUGCCAGCAGCCGCGGUAAUACGGAGGGGGCUAGCGUUGUUCGGAAUUACUGGGCGUAAAGCGCACGUAGGCGGAUUAGUCAGUCAGAGGUGAAAUCCCAGGGCUCAACCCUGGAACUGCCUUUGAUACUGCUAGUCUUGAGGUCGAGAGAGGUGAGUGGAAUUCCGAGUGUAGAGGUGAAAUUCGUAGAUAUUCGGAGGAACACCAGUGGCGAAGGCGGCUCACUGGCUCGAUACUGACGCUGAGGUGCGAAAGUGUGGGGAGCAAACAGGAUUAGAUACCCUGGUAGUCCACGCCGUAAACGAUGAAUGCCAGUCGUCGGGUUGCAUGCAAUUCGGUGACACACCUAACGGAUUAAGCAUUCCGCCUGGGGAGUACGGUCGCAAGAUUAAAACUCAAAGGAAUUGACGGGGUC